AUGUGGUUAAUUCGAUGAUACGCGAAAACCUUACCCGGGCUUGACAUGCAUCAGACAGGCGUAGAGAUACGCCCUCCGCGAGGCUGGUGCACAGGUGCUGCAUGGUUGUCGUCAGCUCGUGUCGUGAGAUGUUGGGUUAAGUCCCGCAACGAGCGCAACCCCUACCGUGUGUUACCAUCAUUAAGUUGGGGACUCGCACGGAACUGCCGGUGAUAAGCCGGAGGAAGGUGGGGAUGAUGUCAAGUCAGCAUGGCCUUUAUAUCCUGGGCUACACACACGCUACAAUGGCCAACACAAUAGGUUGCUAAGCCGCGAGGUGGCGCCAAUCCAUAAAGUUGGUCUCAGUUCAGAUUGUAGGCUGCAACCCGCCUGCAUGAAGAUGGAGUUGCUAGUAACCGCAGGUCAGCUAUACUGCGGUGAAUACGUUCCCGGGGCUU
rnacentral:rRNA from 1 species